AUGCAUCGUACUGAGAGGUCAUUUGAAGUGGGUGACUCUGUUUUCCUAAAGAUGCAACCCUACAUUCAAUCUUCCAUCGCUCCGAGGGCAAAUCAUAAAUUGGCCUUCAAGUACUUCGGUCCGUUUCCAAUUACAGAGAAGAUUGGUGCAGUGGCUUACAAACUAGCUCUGCCUGAAAAUUGCCACGUUCAUCCGGUCUUCCAUGUUUCCUUGCUUAAAUAG
rnacentral:rRNA from 1 species